GUCCUGGCUCAGGAUGAACGCUAGCUACAGGCUUAACACAUGCAAGUCGAGGGGAAACGACAGAGAGUGCUUGCAUGGGCGUCGACCGGCGAAUGGGUGAGUAACGCGUAUCCAACCUGCCCUUGACAGAGGGAUAGCCCAGUGAAAACUGAAUUAAUACCUCAUGUCCUCCUCCGACGGCAUCAGACGAGGAGUAAAGAUUUAUCGGUCAAGGAUGGGGAUGCGUCUGAUUAGGUAGUAGGCGGGGUAACGGCCCACCUAGCCGACGAUCAGUAGGGGUUCUGAGAGGAAGGUCCCCCACAUUGGUACUGAGACGGACCAAACUCCUACGGGAGGCAGCAGUGAGGAAUAUUGGUCAAUGGGCGGAAGCCUGAACCAGCCAAGUAGGACGACGGCCCUAUGGGUUGUAAACUGCUUUUAUAGGGGAAUAAAGUUAUCCACGUGUGGAUAUUUGCAUACCCUAUGAAUAAGGACCGGCUAAUUCCGUGCCAGCAGCCGCGGUAAUACGGAAGGUCCGGGCGUUAUCCGGAUUGGGUUUAAAGGGAGCGUAGGCGGUAUAUUAAGCGUGUUGUGAAAUGUAGGUGCUCAACAUCUGACUUGCAGCGCGAACUGGUUUACUUGAGUACGCACAACGUAGGCGGAAUUCGUCGUGUAGCGGUGAAAUGCUUAGAUAUGACGAAGAACUCCGAUUGCGAAGGCAGCUUACGGGAGCGCCACUGACGCUGAAGCUCGAAAGUGCGGGUAUCGAACAGGAUUAGAUACCCUGGUAGUCCGCACGGUAAACGAUGGAUGCCCGCUCUGAGUCCUUUUGGAUUUGGGGCCAAGCGAAAGCAUUAAGCAUCCCACCUGGGGAGUACGCCGGCAACGGUGAAACUCAAAGGAAUUGACGGGGGCCCGCACAAGCGGAGGAACAUGUGGUUUAAUUCGAUGAUACGCGAGGAACCUUACCCGGGCUUGAAUUGCAGGAGAACGAUCCAGAGAUGGUGAGGCCCUUCGGGGCUCCUGUGAAGGUGCUGCAUGGUUGUCGUCAGCUCGUGCCGUGAGGUGUCGGCUUAAGUGCCAUAACGAGCGCAACCCCUCUCCUUAGUUGCCAUCAGGUAAUGCUGGGCACUCUGGGGACACUGCCACCGUAAGGUGUGAGGAAGGUGGGGAUGACGUCAAAUCAGCACGGCCCUUACGUCCGGGGCUACACACGUGUUACAAUGGCGUGUACAGAGAGUUGGUGACAUGCAAAUGUCAUCUAAUCCUAAAAGCACGUCUCAGUUCGGACUGGGGUCUGCAACCCGACCCCACGAAGCUGGAUUCGCUAGUAAUCGCGCAUCAGCCAUGGCGCGGUGAAUACGUUCCCGGGCCUUGUACACACCGCCCGUCAAGCCAUGAAAGCCGGGGGUGCCUGAAGUCCGUGACCGGAAGGAUCGGCCUAGGGCAAAACUGGUAAUUGGGGCUAAGUCGUAACAA
rnacentral:rRNA from 1 species